rnacentral:rRNA from 1 species
UACGGGGGGUGCAAACGUUGCUCGGAAUCAUUGGGCGUAAAGCGCGCGUAGGCGGCUUGAUAAGUCGGAUGUGAAAGCCCUCGGCUUAACCGGGGAAGUGCAUUCGAAACUGUCAAGCUUGAGUAUGGGAGAGGAUUGUGGAAUUCCCGGUGUAGAGGUGAAAUUCGUAGAUAUCGGGAGGAACACCAGAGGCGAAGGCG